UGUCCGGGACAGACGGGCUCGUUGCUUUCUCCUGUGGGACAUGAGAGCUCGCAGCCUGAGAGGUGUGGACGAGUCAUAACAAAGUCAACGCAGCUCUUAGUUCAUGUGCCAUAGCGUAUCUGGAACAAACUCCGCUUUUUUAUCAUUAGGGUUGAAAAUGUCUCUGUUCUUAUUUUACAUUUCCUAUUUUGCAAUUCAUUGCAAUAUUAAUGUCUUAUUCCAUUUGAAGUUAAUCCUUUUUCGGUGAAUCUGUUGUAUGCCUUUAUGUUUUAUCUAAAGUGCAUUAAAUACGGAAAAGCUAGUUUAUUCAUUUCAUGCACCUUUCUAAAGCAAGCAAAGAGCUUCAAGGUUUUUACGGUACAGAGCAAACACAACGCGCCUUUGGCUCCUACUCAGCGAAUAAUGCCGGUCAUUUUCCCCAACCCAGCAAUUUGUCUCUCUUAGGCUACAGAUUUUGCGGUGGUUAUGAAAGAAAGAGAAUCCAGUGUCUUUCCAACACACGUCUUUGGAGUAAACCAAGUAAAAAUGUGUUUCAACACUCCCUCCCGGAAGAGGAAGAAGGAGCCACGGAGGUAUCACAGUACAGCCGCAUACUUCGUAAUCAGAUGGCUCCCUUGUCUGGCAGCUACACUGAGAGGCUCCUGUGCUUUAGGCUGACUCACUACACAGGCACAUUCCCCGCUUGUUCUCGAGCAGGUACACAACAGGUAUCACUACAAGCGCCCUUUGAGAAUGACCACGGAGCAGCUCCGGAAACCAGCGUGUUCCUGGAGUUAAAGAACACGCUGUACUUUGCCAGGAGGUGAAAGGCUUUCAAUGAAAAAGAAGACUUGGACCGCUGCAUUAAGAGGAGACUUUAUUGAGGAUAAUCUACACACUAAAGUGGCCUUGGGAAAAGAACAAGGAUUCAGUUCUGUUUCAACCACACCCAAACACCCCCUGCCCCCCCUUCUCCGGAUGGGUGGACCACCAGCAGCUGAUCCUCCACCACUGUGGCCCUCCGGUUCCACGUGGAGCGCAGUGUGAGAGGAAAGAGACGGAGUCAACUGCUCCUCUGGGUGAAACACCCAUUGAUAUCUUUACAUUCAUAAAAGAGUGUAAUGGAAA